rnacentral:rRNA from 1 species
GACGAACGCUGGCGGCGUGCCCAAUACAUGCAAGUAGAACGCUGAAGGAGGAGCUUGCUUCUCCGGAUGAGUUGCGAACGGGUGAGUAACGCGUAGGUAACCUGCCUGGUAGCGGGGGAUAACUAUUGGAAACGAUAGCUAAUACCGCAUAACAGUAGAUGUUGCAUGACAUUUGCUUAAAAGGUGCAAUUGCAUCACUACCAGAUGGACCUGCGUUGUAUUAGCUAGUUGGUGAGGUAACGGCUCACCAAGGCGACGAUACAUAGCCGACCUGAGAGGGUGAUCGGCCACACUGGGACUGAGACACGGCCCAGACUCCUACGGGAGGCAGCAGUGGGGAAUCUUCGGCAAUGGACGGAAGUCUGACCGAGCAACGCCGCGUGAGUGAAGAAGGUUUUCGGAUCGUAAAGCUCUGUUGUAAGAGAAGAACGAGUGUGAGAGUGGAAAGUUCACACUGUGACGGUAUCUUACCAGAAAGGGACGGCUAACUACGUG